rnacentral:rRNA from 1 species
UGGGGAAUAUUGGACAAUGGGGGCAACCCUGAUCCAGCAAUGCCGCGUGGAUGAAGAAGGUCUUCUGAUUGUAAAGUCCUUUCGGCGGGGACGAUGAUGACGGUACCCGCAGAAGAAGCCCCGGCUAACUUCGUGCCAGCAGCCGCGGGAAUACGAAGGGGGCUAGCGUUGCUCGGAAUGACUGGGCGUAAAGGGCGCGUAGGCGGAUGAUACAGUCAGGCGUGAAAUUCCUGGGCUCAACCUGGGGACUGCGUUUGAUACGUAUUGUCUAGAGUUCGGAAGAGGGUCGUGGAAUUCCCAGUGUAGAGGUGAAAUUCGUAGAUAUUGGGAAGAACACCGGUGGCGAAGGCGGCGACCUGGUCCUUGACUGACGCUGAGGCGCGAAAGCGUGGGGAGCAAACA